rnacentral:rRNA from 1 species
AGACCCGAAACCCGGUGAUCUAGCCAUGGGCAGGUUGAAGGUUGGGUAACACUAACUGGAGGACCGAACCGACUAAUGUUGAAAAAUUAGCGGAUGACCUGUGGCUGGGGGUGAAAGGCCAAUCAAACCGGGAGAUAGCUGGUUCUCCCCGAAAGCUAUUUAGGUAGCGCCUCGUGAAUUCAUCUCCGGGGGUAGAGCACUGUUUCGGCUAGGGGGCCAUCCCGGCUUACCAACCCGAUGCAAACUGCGAAUACCGGAGAAUGUUAUCACGGGAGACACACGGCGGGUGCUAACGUCCGUCGUGAAGAGGGAAACAACCCAGACCGCCAGCUAAGGUCCCAAAGUCAUGGUUAAGUGGGAAACGAUGUGGGAAGGCCCAGACAGCCAGGAUGUUGGCUUAGAAGCAGCCAUCAUUUAAAGAAAGCGUAAUAGCUCACUGGUCGAGUCGGCCUGCGCGGAAGAUGUAACGGGGCUAAACCAUGCACCGAAGCUGCGGCAGCGACGCUUAUGCGUUGUUGGGUAGGGGAGCGUUCUGUAAGCCUGUGAAGGUGUGUCGUGAGGCAUGCUGGAGGUAUCAGAAGUGCGAAUGCUGACAUAAGUAACGAUAAAGCGGGUGAA